ACCUGUUUUUUACCUGACCACAAAACGUCAAAAUGACAGUCUGUGUGCAAACAUUUAACUGAUUCUGCGUUUUUACUCUAAAUAAAUACUUAUUAGUGUUUCUUAGCUUCCAAGUACAUUUUUUUUGGACAAAAUCAAUAGCGUAAUAAUAACAAUGCCAGUAUGUAGUGUUUUAGCGUGUGAAAACAGAACAUAUCGAAGCAGUCCGGGUACAUCCUAUCACAGGUUUCCACUUCAAGACUCAAGAACGUGAACGCACUGAUUGGGUUAAAGCAUGUGGAAGAACAAACUGGGAACCGCCUAAAAGUUCUGUAAUAUGCUCUAAGCAUUUUGAUGACAACUUCUUUAUUAAACAUGGAGAUAGAACAAGUCCCAACCAAGUUCUGUCAUUUGGAAAAUAUUUCUGUACCAAGUUGUUCACCAUCCUCAAUGCAACAUAGUGAAGUUGCCGGCAUCCCUGCCAACUAUAUUUAGAAGCAGGAAAAUCCAACUAAGCGAGCCAAAAGAUCAUGAUUACACAGAUAC